rnacentral:rRNA from 1 species
AAUAGCGUAUAUUAAAGUUGUUGCGGUAAAAAAGCUCGUAGUUGGAUUUCUACCGAAGAUAGCCGGUCGGGUCUUCGACCUUGUAUCUGGUUUUGUCUUUGGUAUCCUCAUAGGGAACGUUUCUGCGCUUUAUUGCGUGGUGCGGUAUCUAUGACUUUUACUUUGAGGAAAUUAGAGUGUUCACGGCAGGCAAACGCCUUGAAUAUAUUAGCAUGGAAUAAUAACAUAGGAUCUUCGUCCUAUUUUGUUGGUUUCUAGGGCUAAGAUAAUGAUUAAUAGGGAUAAUUGGGGGCAUCUGUAUCAACGCGUCAGAGGUGGAAUUCUUGGAUUGCGUUGCGACAAACUACUGCGAAAGCAUUUGCCAAGGAUGUUUUCAUUGA